rnacentral:rRNA from 1 species
CCCUUAGAUGUCCUGGGCCGCACGCGCGUUACACUGGUGCAUUCAACGAGCUUAUAACCUUGGCCGAGAGGCCUGGGCAAUCUUGUUAACGUGCAUCGUGAUAGGGAUAGAUUAUUGAAAUUAUUAAUCUUGAACGAGGAAUUCCUAGUAAACGCAGAUCAUCAAUCUGCAUUGAUUACGUCCCUGCCCUUUGUACACACCGCCCGUCGCACCUACCGAUUGGAUGGUCCGGUGAAGCCUCGGGAUUGUGGUUCUUGCCGCUUUAUUGUGGCGUGACCGCGAGAACUUGUCUAAACCUUAUCAUCUAGAGGAAGGUGAAGUCGUANCA